AGAGUUUGAUCCUGGCUCAGGACGAACGCUGGCGGCGUGCCUAACACAUGCAAGUCGAACGUGAUCCAGAGCUUGCUCUGGUGAAAGUGGCGCACGGGUGAGUAACGCGUGGAUAACCUACCCUGGUAUCCGGGAUAACAUUCCGAAAGGGGUGCUAAUACCGGAUAAGCCCACGGGCUCUUUGGAGCUUGCGGGAAAAGGUGGCCUCUAUUUAUAAGCUACUGUAUCAGGAUGGGUCCGCGUACCAUUAGCUAGUUGGCGGUGUAACGGACCACCAAGGCGACGAUGGUUAGCUGGUCUGAGAGGAUGAUCAGCCACACUGUAACUGAGACACGGUCCAGACUCCUACGGGAGGCAGCAGUGGGGAAUUUUGCGCAAUGGGGGAAACCCUGACGCAGCAACGCCGCGUGAGUGAUGAAGGCCUUUGGGUCGUAAAGCUCUGUCAGAGGGGAAGAAAUGAUAUAGUGCUAAUACCACUUUAUCUUGACGGUACCCUCAAAGGAAGCACCGGCUAACUCCGUGCCAGCAGCCGCGGUAAUAC
rnacentral:rRNA from 1 species